UACGGCCACAUCACAUAUUGAAACACUGGUUCCUGUAUGAUCACAAAAGUUAAGCAACGUUGAGCCUGUUCAGUACCUAGAUGGGUGACCACUUGGGAAUACCUGAUGCUGUAA